rnacentral:rRNA from 1 species
GGCCUUUUGAAAAUUUAUAUAAAAGGUUGGGCCUGCCCGGUGAUCUGAAAUGGUUUAACGGCUGCGAUUGAAACCGUACUAAGGUAGCAUAAUAAUUUGCCCUUUAAUUGGGGGAGAGAAUGAAUGGUUUGACGGUAAAAAAGCUGUUUUAAAAAUAAUUAAAGAAGUUAACUUUUAAGUGAAAAGGCUUAGGUUUUUGUAAAAGACGAGAAGACCCCGUCGAGCUUAAUUAGGAUAGCUUUAUUUAAAAGAUAUCUAAAAUUUUAUUGGGGCAAUAGAAAAUGAAAAGAAUCAUUUUUUAUAGAAUAAGGAUCCAGUUUUGACUGAAAAAAGCAAAAGCUACCGCGGGGAUAACAGGGUAAUUUUUUCUGAGAGUUCAUAUUUAAGAGAAAGUUUGCUACCUCGAUGUUGGAUUAAAAUUUCUUUAUGCUUGC